rnacentral:rRNA from 1 species
UCGGUUAGUCGGCACGAGCGCACCUCAUCUUCAGUUACUAACAGGUUAUGCUGAGGACUUUGGAGAAACUGCCGUUGGAAAAGCGGAGGAAGGCGAGGAUGACGUCAAGUCCUCAUGGCCCUUAUGGGCUGGGCUACACACGUGCUACAAUGGUAAUUACAAUAGGUCGCGAAAAGGCAACUUUGAGCUAAUCUUCAAAAAUUAUCUUAGUUCGGAUUGUUCUCUGCAACUCGAGAGCAUGAAGUUGGAAUUGCUAGUAAUCGUGGAUCAGCAUGCCACGGUGAAUACGUUCCCGGGUCUUGUACACACCGCCCGUCACACCAUGGGAGUUGGUUUUACCUGAAGCCGAUUUUUAAUCGUCCACGGUAAGGUCAGCGACUGGGGUGAAGUCGUAACAAGGUAGCCGUAGGGGAACCUGCGGCUGGAACACCUCCUUUCU